AACCACUUACCUCUUUCUGUCUUCCUUCUUUCUCAGCCAAACUGGAAUCCAAGGAGGAACCCAGAAGCUUGAACUCUGAGAAAGAGCCAGUGAUGGAAGCUUAUUCUUCCUGUUCUACAUCAGCUUACGAUUUUCAGCCCUCACAGCUUCCCUCAGCAUAGAAAAUCAUUGUCAAUGACUAACAUAACAACAGCUAUGAAGGGACAGUGGAAAUCGAUCUUUCUCACCCUGUGCUCUGAAUGUCAUCAUACUGGGACUUUGUCAGUAAAAGUUUCUCCAGCAGGACAAUGGGAAAUAACAGAAGGAAGGAACAGAAUUAAGAAGCACUGGGAAAGGCUUCCUGUAGAAGAUAAGAUUUUAGUUGGAGCUUGAAGGAAGUCAGAGAAGUCAGUA